rnacentral:sRNA from 1 species
GGCGAGCUGAGGUGGAGGCAGGCUGCGGCAGACGGCGACAGUGGCGGCGGCGCCAUGGCAGGGCUUGCAGGAUCCCUGCUGCCUUGGUGAUCCCGGGCUGACAGCCAGAGAGCACAGCGGCUCAGCUCCUGGAGAGUGAGGGUUGAAGAAAGCGGAGGGCAGCCGCCUGCGCCCGCUGGCUCCCAUUAGCAUGGAGGAAUCGUGAUGAUGGCUGCAGCCCCCAGAAGAUGAACUUGGCAGGAGCUGGCUGAGAUGAUUUUUCUGCUGAUGGUGAAAUGUGCUGGCAGAGUCUAUACAGCACCUAGCAACAGGUAGUAAGCUCCUUGGGUGCCGAAUCAGUAUUUUCUGCCUUGGAAUCAAAUGUCAGAAGUCAACACUCAAACGUCUUUUGACCAAAAAGAUUCUACGACAAUUAUCCAGAAGUUACAAUGCAAGGAAG